GGGGAAAAACGGGCGGUUUUGGGCAAAAGGCGGCGUUUUGGGGGAAAAGAGGGGAUUUUGGGGUGCGGGGGGGGCUGUUUGGGGGUCCAGAAGGGCGUUUUGGGGCAAACGGGGGCUGUUUGGGGUGCGGGACGCCAUUUUGGGGCAAAUUAGGGAAUUUUAGGGGUUCAGGAGGCUGUUUUGGGGCAAAAGUGGCCAUUUUGGGGCAAAGGAGGCCGUUUUGGGGCAAAUUAGGCAAUUUUGGGGGUGCAGGAGGCCGUUUUGGGGCAAAAAAAGGCCAUAUUGGAGGAACGGGGGUCACUUGGGACUGUGAAAAGGGUUUCGGGGUGUAAGAGGCUGUCUUGGGAGGUGGGAAGGUAUUUUGGGGGUCCAGGAGGCCAUUUUGGGGGAAAAAAGCCCGUUUUGGGGCGCGACCUCCCGCGAUGCCGGUGCCCAACAGCCGCCUCCGACCUUCCCCUUCCCGCUCCCCAAAUUCCCAUCGCCCCCUUGGCCAACGGAGACCGAAAACGACCGUUUUUCGCCCCAAAAUGAUUUCUAAUCAUCCCCUUGGGCAACCGAGGCCGCGCCGCCUCUUCCAACCCAACUCAACCCAACCCAACUCAACCCAACCCAACCCAACUCAACCCAACUCAACCCAACCCAACCCAUGGAGACCCUUCAACCCAACUCAACCCAACCCAACCAAUGGAGACCCUUCAACCCAACCCAACCCAACGGUUGCUUCCGUGCCCCGUUGGCCAUCUUGGCCACUCAUCCCCCCCCCCUUGGGCUCGCGUCGGCCAUUUUGGCCACCCCGGGGCUCGCGUCGGCCAUCUUGGCCACCCCGGAGCUUGCGAAGGAGCUGCCGAGGCCGCUGGGGUCCGGGGCGUGGUUUAUUGAGGGGGCGCCCUCCGAAGCCGACGUCGGGGUGAAAUUUUUGGGGGAAAAAAGAAGAGAAGAGGGCUUUUUCCUCUCCCCGAACCCUAUCGGAGGAGGGGUCGGGGGCCUCCCGCCCGCGCCGGGCUCCUCUCGAGGUCAGGGCUCGCUCCUGUCGACGCCGGUCAUGGGUAGCAGACGGCCAGGAGCAGCCCCAGGAGCAGCGCAGCGGCGGCGGCACCGCAGCCGGCCACCAGCGGGACGGGCAGGGCCGCGGCUGUCCGAGAGACCCCAAAAAAACCCCUAAAGGUGAUUAUCGAGAGGCUGAGGGUCGACCAAGAGCUUUUGAGGCCAAGAGGAGCGUUACAAGAGGUGGCGUUGGCCCGUGGAGAGGACCCAGAGGGGGGAUUUUAACAGUUUCCAGCUGACGAGGGUGAGUUCGAACAAUUUUAAUUACCCUCGGCUAACGAGGGAAGACGGGAGGGCGUUUUCGACCAGUUUUUGACCCGUUUUUUCCUCCAAUUUCAGAAACCGGAGCUGAA
rnacentral:lncRNA from 1 species